rnacentral:rRNA from 1 species
UACGUAGGGCGCGAGCGUUGUCCGGAAUUAUUGGGCGUAAAGAGCUCGUAGGCGGCUUGUCACGUCGGGUGUGAAAGACCGGGGCUUAACUCCGGUUCUGCAUUCGAUACGGGCUAGCUAGAGUGUGGUAGGGGAGAUCGGAAUUCCUGGUGUAGCGGUGAAAUGCGCAGAUAUCAGGAGGAACACCGGUGGCGAAGGCGGAUCUCUGGGCCAUUACUGACGCUGAGGAGCGAAAGCUAGGGGAGCAAACGGG